UUGAGUCUCUUCUCUCUUUUUCUUGAUUGACCUAAGUAAACAUUUGCCAAUUUUGUUAUCUUUUCAAACAUUUAAUUUUGGUUUAUUGAUUUUCUCUGUUGUUUCAUAUUCCCUUUCUGUUGGCUUAACUCUUAUUAUGAAAUUUUUUUUGUCUUUAAAAAUUUUAUAUUUGGUUAAUUAAAAUUUAAGUUGAUUUUGGGGUAUCAACGCUUCUCUUAUAUGAAAAUAAGAGCAUGAAUCAAGAAAUAAUGGGUUCCCAAAUACUGCAGUGGAAACACAUUUUUUUGGGGGGGUACAAAACAAGUAUCCAUGUACAUAUAGUCCUUGGUUCCCCAAGUCAUUGAGUCAACUUAGUCAAAAUAAGUAGCCUCUCAUUUCUUAUCUCAUGAGGGUGGUCUUGCCUUGCUUGGAGACAUUAUAAUGAAUUCACUUGAUGUAGUUACUUUUAAGCAUACCAGUUUACUUCAUAUCCCAUUUUCAACCAGUUAUCGUACCCGGAAUAAUUGCUAGAAUCAAAUUCCAUCAUGCACAGGAAAGGAGUGCGUAGCUCUGUUGACUGUGUACAUCGUCCACAGCCCCUGGGUCGGGGCAGGGUCCCCUAGGCCGCCCGGGGGUCCACAUGCAGCCCCUGGGGGGCCGGCGCGGGGU
rnacentral:lncRNA from 1 species